GGGGGCUGGGAAAUGUAGUUGCCAAGUGUAGAGCAGCUCCCCUCUAACUCCCACCUAUAAUGAGUGUGGCAGUCUCAGUCCUAAGGCAGUGUUCUCAUAUACCCACACAAAGAAGUUGAACUCGGUUAAAGGUUGCAAAGGGACAACUCCUUUAGUUAGAUAUUUUAAUAUUACCUAGGAGGACUAUGAGGCAUGACAGGUAAACGUGUUCAGGACACUGAUCAGGUGACUUCUGUCAGUUUGUAGCUCGCUUCCCAAGACACACUCCGGAAGCCCCCUAGUUUUAGUAUCUUGAUUGUAUCCUGAUCCUUUGCCUGGUUCUUGGUACUAUCACAGGACCACCCUUCCUGCAUUUCCCUCCCCACCCCCAAAUCUGGUAGAUUCAAGGCUCCAUAGCUAUAUUCUUUAGUUCUUAAUCUCCACCCACUACACCCAGCCAAUCAAAGACUACAGAGUCAGACCCUUAGCCACAGUAACAUUGUUCUGAGAAUGGGAAUAGGUAAGAGGGUCCCGAUUUCCUCAUGUAAGAGGGAGCUCUUUUAAUGUCCUUUGGGAAGAGCUUGUGGCUGGGAGUCACCCCAAUAAACCCCCAAAGAAAAACCUCAAUCUACACAGAAGAGCAGAGCAACAGGUGACCUGGAUAUAUUUUAUUGUCAUUGAGAUUAACAAGAGCAGGGUUAUAUACAAGAUGCGACCCCCCACCCCAAGGACAUAUCUAAACAUCUCCCAAACUGCUCAGGGACCCCAACCUUGGAGGAUGCGCUGAAGCUAUACCAGCUUCUUUGGAGCUCGGGAUCUAUGAACCUCCGGCCUGGAUGUUGCCUCUUGGUGACAUCAGACUCCAUCCAGGGGAAGGAUCGCCUGCCAGGGUGCUGCCGCUUGACUUGGGGGACAUCUGAGAACCAGGAAUCCAGAAAGAAAUCUGGUAACCAGGACCGUGGCAUCCAGUCACUGUCCUCCUCAUCUGCCCAUGAAUACUUGUCCUGGUUGGCACGUCGGCCGGGGUGCUGUCGUUUGUGGAGUCUCCAGGCUCCCCCUUCUCCCAAGUCUCCCCUCUCUUCAGCUUCAAUGUCUUUUUCCUCCUCCUCCCUUUUGCCUGGAUGCUGGCGUUUUGUGAUCCAGGAGUCUGGAGAAGGAAAAGUCAGUGUGGGAGAACCUGACCCCCUUCAUCAGAGACCCUCACUUUCAGGCUACAUACCACUCUAGACAUACUUUGUCAUGGCAGCUCCUCCCUCCCAUUGUCUGCUCCUCAGAUCUUAUAGACCCCCUCAGCCCCAGCUCUCUACUUUCUUGUGGGUGACCAUAAGCCACUUCUUACUUGUAUUUUCUGAAUCUCAGUUUCCAGGACAAAAUGGCAACAGGUCCUUAUAGAUAGAUAGGGCCUUAGAGACAAGUGCUUAGUAAACAAUAAUUAAAGCUGUUGUGGAUGGGGACCAUAUGAAGUUGUGAC